AAGUUCGCCCUGCUUUGAGUCACGUGGUUUAAGAAAAUGGCUUCUUGAAACGAAUUUUGUCAAAUGUGUUGCUAAAAGUAGAAAUUAUAGCUACCUAAAACUGAAUGCGAGUGUUAAUAUUGGACUGAAGGCACCAAAGUCAACCGAACAACAUGCCUCCUCGGAAAAAGCAGGAGAACAGAGGCACCGAUGAUUGUCCCAGGAAACGACGACGAGCUCAGGAAGAGGGCAAUGUCGUCAUCUCAGACAGAGACGAGGAUGAAGACUUCAGACCGACAUCAUCAUCAUCAAGAGGGGAGCGCAAACGGGAGAAGGAGAGUAGAACACGAACAAACGAGAUGACAGAGGAGGAGAUGCUGGACCUGGCCAUGAGACUGAGUAAACAGGAGGCCAGCAGCGCUGCUCUCCGGCAACGACAGGAGGAAGAGGCCGUGAGGAAGGCCAUCGCUGAAAGCCUCUAUGCAGACAGCCCUACUCAUCCCCACUCAGAAUCUUCGCUCGGGUCAGGGGGCCCUACACAACAAUGUCAAAAUUCUCCUCCAGAGGGAGAGAGCAGCAUACAGCCCCCCAGGUGUAAACUCUCCUACCCUAACCAUGGUGUGGCUGACAGGGAGGGAGCCUGCGGUGGAGGUGUUCAUGUAGAGGUGGCUCCCUCAGACAGGAGGAGGAAGGGGAAGAAGGAGGGAAGCCCAUCCCAGUCCUCCCCCCUCAGCCAAGCUUCCACCUCAGUGCCUCUCCCAUCCUCACAGGAAGAGGGGUCUUCUCAGAGGAACCUUUUCGGAGACCGCUCAGCCAAGGCAAUUGAAUCUCAGGACUACAACAACUCCACAAAGAGUGACUCCCAGUCCCAACUCAGGAUCAAGUCCCCUGGUUUCCCUUCCACUACGGCUCCCCAAGCCAACAAACCUGUCCUGUGCCUGGAGAAGCUUAGCCAGGACCUCCUAGUAGACUGUCAGGCCUCUGGGUUCCUACUAAAGGGUCAUCCCAGCUUAACGCUUCCCACAAAGUCCCAGAAAUCUCAAUCUUAUCAGCCCAAGAGCCCCACAUUCUCCAAUACCCCUGUGUUUUCCAAAACAGAGAGAGGUGUGGAACCAGGCCAAAGUAGUCCCUCCUUUCCUAAACGUGCCAUGUUCUCUAAUUGUGAUUCAGGAGAGGAAGAAAAAGAGGCCAGUCCCACCAUUCCUAAAAGCCUGGUCUUUUUCAAGACUGAUAGAGGAAAGGCAGAGGAACAAGGGAGUCCAACUUCUCCUAAAAGCACCAUGUUCUCUAAGACUGAAAGAGGACCAGAAGAGAAAGAGACCUUCUCUGGAAGUCCAGUCUUUCCCAGAACUGAUCAGAUAAGGGACCAGGGUCCACAGAGCUGUGUUGAAAGUGUCUCUGCAACAGGAGACUAUGAGGAUGGAGACAGAGAUGAUGCUGUGAAGAGCAGGGAUGCCUCCGAGUGCCUUCCACCAUGCCCCAGAACAACCCUGUCCCUGAACAAGAGAUUUGUGCCUAUAAGGAAGACUGCUGGAGUUUCAGACAAAGUUGUUGACCAAGAGGAACGCGAGGGUGAAUCCUCGCAGAGAACUGUAAACAGGAUUAGCAUGCCUGCAAAGUUGGCUGCAGAAGAAGACCUUAAUUCAGAGGAACUUACAUUGGCUUUGGAGACUCAGCCAAUGCAGGAGUUAACCAGUAAUAUGGCGCUACGCUGGUCAGAUGAUGACGAAGAGGAAAAUGGUCCUGAAAAGUCAGCUCACUCGCCCAGCCCAGUCUUCCCACAGGAGAAUGACCUCCCUCAGCCAAGCAACCAGGGUCUCUCCCCAAACACCCACGACCACCGUUCCCCCCAACACAAACACAGCCCCUGCCUCGUCCCCAAGAAACGCACUCACAACUUCGAAGGCGCCGCGUGCGAGGAGGGGGAGAGCCAGUCCAAGUGCAUCCGGAAGAAGUUCACCUUAAAGGGCAUGUAUGGAGCCCCCUGUCCCUCUCUUCUCAGACAGGCUGCAGGUAGGAGCCAGGAUGAGGCCAAAGGCGGAAGCACCUCUUCCCACCAGCCCCUGGCCUCCUCCAGCCGCCUCUCUCCCCCCACAGACGGCCAGGGUUAUGGGGGAGUGGUGCGCUACUAUUGGGGUGUGCCUUUCUGUCCACUGGGGCAGAACCCAGACGCCUACACACAGGUGAUCCUGUCCCAGCUGGAGGUGUAUGAGAAGAGCCUGAAGGAGGCCCAGAGGGGUCUGCUGAGGAAGGCAGGCUGGGGGGAGCCAGUCCUCCCUGGGCCCCCAGAGAAACCCUUCUCCAGGAGGGGACGCCUCGAGAGACGCAGGGCCCCACGACUCAUGGAAGAAGAGGAGAGAGGGGGAAAACGUCAGGAAGAGCUAGUGGAGGUGGUAGAAGAUGAUGAUGAAGAUGAGGGAGAGAAGAGGAAAUCUCCCUCCCCUGUUUUUCAUGCAGAUACCAGUCAGCUAAUUCUACUUCAACGGAGACUUGGCCUUAGAAGAAAAGAGGAAAGACUAGCAGAAAAACAACCACCUGACUUACUGGAGGAGAGGGAGGAAGACGAGAAGGAAGAAAAGAUGGAUGAUAAAGAGGGUGGAGAGAAGAGGGAGGAGGAAGAAGUGGAUGUCAGAGGCUUACAAGUUCCAGAGACCCAACUCAGUGACGACAGCACUCAAGACCUCAUGGUCACCAGCCCUGCACAGCCCCAGCCAGAGAGCCAGUCCCUGCCUCAGAUCCAGACCUUUCUUUCAUCACCCCGUCCUCUGGAACAGCGUGAAGAGGGGAUGUUGGUGGUUGGAGAGGAGGAGGGGCGGAGGAGUAGCCCUGUGGGGAUCCCUGCUGUAGGAGAGGAUGUUCGGAUGGAGGAGGAUAUCCCAGAGCCUGCCUUCCCUCGGAGCCCCAACAUGGACUGUCCCAUGUGCAUGCGUCUCUUCCCCCUGACGGAGAUUGAGAUGCACGCUGCCUACUGUGACGGUACCACCGGUAUCAUGGAGGAGGAAAUGGCAGAGGAGAGCCACUCGCAGGUUUCAGUCAAGGCUCGUAGGAAGAGGACCAGAAGGGGUGAGAACAUUGGAGAGGAGCAGCCCAGCUCUUCUGGCUCUGGCAAGUAAGUAGGGUGGUACAGGGAGAGAAGUGCUUCCUGUGUCAGCAACUAUUUCCUCUCAAGUACCAUGAGAAGCAUGUAGAGGACUGCAUCAAGAACAAAGAGUUCUCCAAGGCUGCACCCAGAGACGGACAGAGUGGAGACUUUCUGAGUGCUCUGGACCAGACAGAGCAUAUAUAUUCAGGGACUGCUGAGGCCAAACCAUGUGAUACUACCAUCAAUAACCAACAAAGUGGCCUGAUUGAUGAUCUGGACACAGCAGAAUCUGGGGGAAGAGGAGACUUCAGCGCCCCAGGUUUCAGAGGGAAAGUGUCUCCCAGCCUUUCCGUCUCUGAGUAGGACGAGGACCUAGGGGAGGUGUCAUCUCACCUGCAGAAAGACCUGAAUAAAUUACUGGGCAAAGACACCAAAAGGCUCCUCUUAAGAUGCUUCCCACCUUUGUGAGGACCACACCUAAUGGAGCAGUUAGGAGUGGAGGAUCAGCAGCAUGAAAGAUGUUUACACCAUCCAUGAGGAGGUUGAUACGUCUGGAAAGAGUGUCUGCAGCCUUUCUGUCGCUCUGUGGAGAAGCUGCGGGAGGUGUCGUCUCGCCUCAGGAAGGACCUGAUCAUAAGGUGGGACAAACACACAAACCGCCGAGCGGCAGUCAAGAUGCUGCCCACUUUUGUGAGGUCUACACUUGAUGGCACAGGAAAAUGCCACAGGCACUAUCUGAUGUGUGGAGACAUUUCACUGCAGCUAAUGUAGAAGGAAAAGCUGUGUACAUUUGCAAAUACUGUGCCAAAUCAUAUGUGAAGAAUGCAACAAAGAUGCACAAUCAUCUGGCCAAGUGCAUAAAGUUCCCUUAGCGCUCACAACAAGCUACCUCUGACAAAAAUCCCUCUACAUCUAUUCGAGUGGUUUUACCACAUUGCGGCCUGCCUGGCUGAGUUCCUGGAGCUGAAGGAUCAGACGCUACCUCUGGGCUGUACCUUCUCCUUCGAGCAGAAAGACAUCGACAAGAGUAUCCUGAUCCGUUGGACCAAAGGCUUUCUUUAACUGUUCAGGAGUGGACGUGGUCAGGCUACUGAGAGAAGCCAUCCACAGCAGAGAGUUGCAAUGGUGAAUGACACUGUGGGUACCAUGAUGAGUUGUGGAUACAGGGACCAGAGCUGUGAGAUUGACAUGAUCAUUGCUUCAGUAAGCAGCUCCAGGAGACCGUAAGAAUCCUGGUCCCUAAGUGUGACAUCACUUUCCUCGUCUCGGAGGAUGGCAGUGGAAAAGGGCACUGCCAUGGUAAUGGCGGUGGCACAGAAGCUGGCCAUAUCGCCCCGACUGUUAGAAGACAGCAGAGGAGGAUGAGGAAGAUGGAAAUGAAUAUGUUAGGUCAGAGGAGGCAUACUGGAAAGACCACUUGAAAUGCAGCACCAUAAAAAUGUCCCCCUCAAAUGCUUUUGUUGUACGAUACAUACAGUGCCUUGCGAAAGUAUUCGGCCCCCUUGAACUUUGCGACCUUUUGCCACAUUUCAGGCUUCAAACAUAAAGAUAUAAAACUGUAUUUUUUUGUGAAGAAUCAACAACAAGUGGGACACAAUCAUGAAGUGGAACAACAUUUAUUGGAUAUUUCAAACUUUUUUAACAAAUCAAAAACUGAAAAAUU